UUACAGUACUUUCACGAUCAUUUAAUACUUCAACACUGCACAAUAUACUAUUAGACUUGCAGUACUGUUCACAACAAUAUUUGAGAUCAUGAAAAAAAGGUAAAAUAUAAGAAAAGAGUGUCUAUAUAUUGAGUUCUCACAACAUCUAUCGAGCUAUGAAGCAUGUCAGAUUAUGGGAACCAACUACCACAAAGUACCACCUUAUCUACAAAUGUGUCCCUUGUUCAUUCUUACAAAGAUUGGUGUGUCCAUUGUAUCUUUUGGAGAUUUUCAGUAGGUCAUUUGUUCGUAUGAAUGCGGAGCUCGUGCGGAUGUGCACUACAUUUUGUUGCAAUUUUAGUUCGGAUUUCCAGUAACUUCAGCAAUCAAACGCGCGGGAAGAUCGCUCAAAUGCAAGCACCACUCACACGCUGUACUUUGAGUUAGUCAAAUUAGUGUGUUUUGCGUUAGAAUUCACUCUCUCUUUGUUCAAACAGGUGUUCCUUUCAGCUAAAUCUGACUCCAAGUUUAAAGUCUUUCUUUCAUUAAGUCUUGACAUUCGUGUUUCCUAUUAAUUCUGGUACUUAGACGUCUAUUUUUCUAUUUUGCUAAGUAAUAGCGGUACUUAGACUUCAAUACUGUAAGGGAGAGAUUUCCAAAUAGAGAAUCCAUUCCUUAAUCUAACAGGGUGGGUAUAUUAUGGAUCGCAAAGCUUGGAGCUUGAUCUUGAUUGUGGUUGAUUGUGGGGAGCUAUUGGAGUAGCGGAUGGGCAAAGGUCAUGAAAGAUCAGAGUAAACAAGUUGUGAGAUUGGAUCUACGAAACUGCUCCACGAUUAAGUAGGAUAUUGUGUCUGCAUAUUCAGUACUAGUACGAAAUUUGCUAAAGCUAGAGGAUAAUUCGUCAGAAUGUUUUUACGUUCUUGGUCAGGAGAGGUUUUCCCACAAUAAAUCUGUCUCAUAUGUGCAUCUUUGCUCAGUGAUCUCUCCUACUCGAUGACUAUUUAGUUCAUUCUAUCAAAUCAUCACAAUUGAAUAAUCGGUGACUCAAUCGGCUACUUAAAAGGUUUAUUCUAAAAGAGUUUCACCAGAAGACCUCCAAUCAAACUUUGACAAGAAGAGCUGACUCCACCAAAUUGACUACUUAAAAUGUCUAUUUUUCUGUUAAUCACAACCAAAUACAUUACCUAACCCCACAGCCAAACACCACUCUGUAAUACCAAAACAAAACACCACAACAAACAUCGCAGUCACCUCUAAGUGCAACACAUCACCCUCCAGAAUCUCGAUCAAUUCCACCACAUCACCUCUCAGCAUCUAUGUCUUGAACAAAAUCAGUCCCAUUGAGAAAUCCAUAUACUGCCAUGUCUUCGUUCUUCUCUCUAUCUGACCUCAAAACCACGCCAUCACCAAUUUCCAACCAUCACUACCGAUGCCCACAGUCAAGGUUAGUUGUUGAGGAGGUUUUCCAACGGGGGAGAAACAAAAAUGUGAAUGUAAAUAUGGCUUGCUUUCCAUAACACAUAGCCAUUGCAUUGUUAUUGUUCAUCAAUCUUCUUCCCUUUUGUAUUCGCCAACACAAACCAACCCUCUUUUCCCCAAUUAUAUGGAAGCAGUAUUAAUUAUAUAAACUUAUAUAUAAAAGAUAUAAAGGGUGGAGGAAGACUUUGAUAUUGCUAUAAAUUCUAUAAAACAAUGGUCAUAAAUUUGCUUGUCAUAUAGAUUAGGAAAGAGAGACUUAUUUUAAUGAAAAAGCCUAUGAGGUUACUCUAGCAUAUCUUUAAGUGCUUUUAGAGUUACUUCAAACUGCCUACUUUUUGCGUCAGUUUUUACCAGCUUGGUUCAUGCCACAACCAACUAAGGAAGGUAGUUUAUCUUAACAAAACUCCCAAAUUAGAUUUUUUUAUGUGGUGUAUAGCUGCAUAUGUAAGUUAAGGAUCCUUAACCUUGUCAAAUAUACGUAAUUUUGGAUUAGAAUAGUAACGAAAUACGCAUCAAUGCGAUACAUCAACGCCCUUUCAUUUUUACAUUGAAAGACUCUCAUGGGGCUCUUUUUUUCCUUUAGCAUUUGUAGAUCUAUAAGGAAACAAGUAACUAAAGGUAUACAAUAGCUCUUAUGAACUUCUGCCAUCCUCAUGAGAUCCUGGUUCCUUAUUGUUUUUGGAUUGGCAUAUCUUUCAGCCAUCAUCAACUCUAUUAUUGAUUUUAGGAACACAAAUCAAUCAUAUCAUUUAUUCUCUAGAAUCUUUGUGGAUUGUGCAACUAUUCUUCGUUCCAGUUCUCCCACUAGAACAAUAGGCUAGCUGGGCCAUUCUCUAUCUUAUACUCAAAAUCUUGACAUUGAAACACGCAAAGAAUUUCAGUGUUGACAUUACUGAAAUUAGAAGAUGAGGGACUGUGACAAUUGGAAUGAGUGCAAUAAAAAGAGUAACAAAUUCUAAAGAGAAACCAUUUAUAUUAUCAUUGGCACUGAAGCAUCAUCUACAACAUAUAUGUAUGGGCAACAUACCAAGUUUCCAAAAAA
rnacentral:lncRNA from 1 species